AUUUGGAUGUUUGGAUAGUCGCAGUGCCUUUCGUUUUGAGAACUAUCUACAGGAGCUUAAAAAACUAAUUAGCUCUGGAAGACGUCCUCUUACUCAAGUCAUGAAAAGAAUUGAGGAGAGCAGAGUUUUAAUUCAAACCAAAAGCAGACAAACUAAUGAAGAUGCAGUUGGUCUAAAGUAUCCCAACAACACAUUCAUGCUAAAAGAAACAUCUUGUUGUGAAGUGGUUUCAGUUGUUUCUGAGAGGAAGAACAGUGGAAGAAUGCUCCAGUAUAGAGUCUAUGAACAGGUCGAGCCGUUAUUUCUCAGCCCUUGUGACUCUCGUUUGAUUGGAGUGUACAGAGGGCAUGUGAGAAACACACGAAUGAAAAUUGUAUCUGAAGAUUGCUUGGAACAGAGGACAAUCAUUAUUGAAGAGAAUCAUGGAUCUAGAUUUGUGCUUGCAUUCUACAUAAUCUCUGAUUCUUGGUAAAUGUGCUUUAAUUGCUUUUAACAAACAAUUCUAUCACUGAAAAGUUGUUAGAUGCAUUUUAUUUUUUAAUUUUAGGUUGAUCAGCGUUUUGCAGUUGUUCACUUUCUGAGGGAAAAUUCGGUUGAUGUAAUACCAUCGUCUUGGCUGGAAAAAGUAAAUGGGGUACUAUGAGUUCUUCUUUGGACAGGGGAAGUUCACAAGAGAAAGAGCAUGGAGCUGCACUGCCUGCUC